rnacentral:rRNA from 1 species
UACGUAGGUGGCAAGCGUUGUCCGGAUUUACUGGGCGUAAAGGAGCGCGCAGGCGGUCGUCCAAGUCGCGUGUGAAAGCCCCCGGCUCCAACUGGGGAGGGUCACGGCGAUACUGGUCGACUCGAAGGCAGGAGAGGGUAGUGGAAUUCCCGGUGUAGUGGUGAAAUGCGUAGAUAUCGGGAGGAACACCAGUGGCGAAGGCGACUACCUGGCCUGUUCUUGACGCUGAGGCGCGAAAGCUAGGGGAGCAAACGGGG